GACCCGUAAUCCGGGUUGCGGACAGUGUCUGGUGGGUAGUUUGACUGGGGCGGUCUCCUCCUAAAGAGUAACGGAGGAGCACGAAGGUUGGCUAAUCCUGGUCGGACAUCAGGAGGUUAGUGCAAUGGCAUAAGCCAGCUUGACUGCGAGCGUGACGGCGCGAGCAGGUGCGAAAGCAGGUCAUAGUGAUCCGGUGGUUCUGAAUGGAAGGGCCAUCGCUCAACGGAUAAAAGGUACUCCGGGGAUAACAGGCUGAUACCGCCCAAGAGUUCAUAUCGACGGCGGUGUUUGGCACCUCGAUGUCGGCUCAUCACAUCCUGGGGCUGAAGUAGGUCCCAAGGGUAUGGCUGUUCGCCAUUUAAAGUGGUACGCGAGCUGGGUUUAGAACGUCGUGAGACAGUUCGGUCCCUAUCUGCCGUGGGCGCUGGAGAACUGAGGGGGGCUGCUCCUAGUACGAGAGGACCGGAGUGGACGCAUCACUGGUGUUCGGGUUGUCAUGCCAAUGGCACUGCCCGGUAGCUAAAUGCGGAAGAGAUAAGUGCUGAAAGCAUCUAAGCACGAAACUUGCCCCGAGAUGAGUUCUCCCUGACUCCUUGAGAGUCCUGAAGGAACGUUGAAGACGACGACGUUGAUAGGCCGGGUGUGUAAGCGCAGCGAUGCGUUGAGCUAACCGGUACUAAUGAACCGUGAGGCUUAACCUUACAACGCCGAAGCUGUU
rnacentral:rRNA from 1 species